rnacentral:rRNA from 1 species
UACGGGAGGCAGCAGUGGGGAAUAUUGCACAAUGGGCGCAAGCCUGAUGCAGCCAUGCCGCGUGUAUGAAGAAGGCCUUCGGGUUGUAAAGUACUUUCAGUCGUGAGGAAGGUGUUAAGGUUAAUAACCUUAGCAAUUGACGUUAGCGACAGAAGGAGCACCGGCUAACUCCGUGCCAGCAGCCGCGGUAAUACGGAGGGUGCGAGCGUUAAUCGGAAUUACUGGGCGUAAAGGGCACGCAGGCGGUUAAUUAAGUUGGAUGUGAAAUCCCCGGGCUUAACCUGGGAAUGGCAUUCAAGACUGGUUAGCUAGAGUCUUGUAGAGGGGGUAGAAUUCCAUGUGUAGCGGUGAAAUGCGUAGAGAUGUGGAGGAAUACCGGUGGCGAAGGCGGCCCCUGGGACAAAGACUGACGCUCAUGUGCGAAAGCGUGGGGAGCAAACAGGAUUAGAUACC